rnacentral:tRNA from 1 species
GGGAGUUUGGCCGAGUGGUUAAGGCGUCGUGUUUAGGUAGUGCUGGGAUUUCAAUCCCGGUAUACCAUAAAUCCCGCGAUGGGAAACCGCGCAGGUUCGAAUCCUGCAGCUCUCA